rnacentral:rRNA from 1 species
UACGUAGGGUGCGAGCGUUAAUCGGAAUUACUGGGCGUAAAGCGUGCGCAGGCGGUUUUGUAAGACAGCUGUGAAAUCCCCGGGCUCAACCUGGGAACUGCGGUUGUGACUGCAAGACUGGAGUGUGGCAGAGGGGGGGUGGAAUUCCACGUGUAGCAGUGAAAUGCGUAGAGAUGUGGAGGAACACCGAUGGCGAAGGCAGCCCCCUGGGUCAACACUGACGCCUCAUGCACGAAAGCGUGGGGAGCAAACAGG